GGAUGUGAGAGCUAUCUGGCUGUGCCAUUGGGCACCCCAUUGGUCACCAGGUUGGUUCGGCUGAUCUGGCUGGCUAGGCAGGUGUCCCCUUCCUCCCUCUCCACUCCAUGUAGGUCCCUCCCAAAGCUGCGUGCUCAGUGGAGGAGGACAACCUUCCCCACUUAGAGGACGACAGGUCUACAGUCAAGGUAUAUGAGGAGCUGCGCUCUCCCGCUAGAACCUCCAAACAAACUCUCAAAAGCAUGAAGUGGGUCUGAUUUGGUCUUUGGGGCAGUUUUCCAACUCCUGGUAAGAAAACCAACUUGAUCUUAAACA
rnacentral:snRNA from 1 species